UAAGUGAUGGCGACCGGCGCACGGGUGAGUAACACGUAUCCAACCUGCCUCAUACUCGGGGAUAGCCUUUCGAAAGAAAGAUUAAUAUCCGAUAGCAUAUAUUUCCCGCAUGGGUUUUAUAUUAAAGAAAUUCGGUAUGAGAUGGGGAUGCGUUCCAUUAGUUUGUUGGGGGGUAACGGCCCACCAAGACUACGAUGGAUAGGGGUUCUGAGAGGAAGGUCCCCCACAUUGGAACUGAGACACGGUCCAA
rnacentral:rRNA from 1 species